rnacentral:rRNA from 1 species
CUGCCCGGUGACAAGAUUUAACGGCCGCGGUACCCUAACCGUGCGAAGGUAGCAUAAUCACUUGUUCUUUAAAUGAGGACUCGUAUCAACGGCAUCACGAGGAUCCUACUGUCUCCCCCCUCUAAUCGGUGAAACUGAUCUCUCCGUGAAGAAGCGGAGAUGUACAUAUAAGACGAGAAGACCCCAUGGAGCUUUAAACCCAACAACACCCGCCCCUCUCCAAAUCCCAUUAUUUUCCCGGUGAUUGUUUGUUUGGUUUUAGGUUGGGGUGACCGCGGAGUAUAAGAUAUCCUCCAUGAAAAAAAGCUAACUGCCCUUAUUAGAGAAAGACACUUCCAAAAAAUAAUAAAUUAAUUUUAAAUGAUCCGACAUUCGAUCAACGAACCAAGUUACCCUGGGGAUAACAGCGCAAUCCGCCCCGAGAGCCCCUAUCGACAGGCGGGUUUACGACCUCGAUGUUGGAUCAGGGUAUCCCA